rnacentral:rRNA from 1 species
ACGUAGGGUGCAAGCGUUGUUCGGAUUUACUGGGCGUAAAGGGUGCGUAGGUGGUUUGGUAAGUCGGGUGUGAAAUCCUGCAGCUCAACUGCAGAACUGCAUUCGAAACUGCCAAGCUAGAGUACUGGAGAGGAGAUCGGAAUUCUCGGUGUAGCAGUGAAAUGCGUAGAUAUCGAGAGGAACACCGGUGGCGAAGGCGGCAUCCUGGACCAAUACUGACGCUGAGGAGCGAAAGCCAGGGGAGCAAACGGGA